rfam:Triticum aestivum genome assembly, contig: Triticum_aestivum_CS42_TGACv1_scaffold_458238_5DS
AAUGUACUCCCUCCGUUCGAAAAUUCUUGUCUUAAAUUUGUCUAAAUACGGAUGUAUCAAGUCACGUUUUAGUAUUAGAUACAUCCGUAUUAGACGAAUCUAAGACAAGAAUUUUGGGACGGAGGGAGUACCUA